GUGAAAAAGUAAUUACGCAGGUAGGUAAUGUAUCUGAUUAUAUGUUGCAUCCUCCUGGUAUAAAUCUUCUUCAGGUGUUCCUCCCAGUGAACCCGAUAAUAAGUGUUAGAGCUCUCACACCAAAUGAGGAAGCUGCAGAUCUGUAUUCCCACCCAGUUCUCACUCAUAAAUUGGCCACAUACGGGUACAUCCCGAGGACCCGUAGGCGUCACAUUUUAACAUGCUUUUAGUGCCACUUUUCAAUGUGAAGGGAGGUCCGACGGAUUCAGUAGAAGUCACUCUGUGUCUGAAAUCGAUGCUAUGAGGCUGCAGGCAAAUGUGCUCUGCUGGUGUUAUGACUAAACUCGGUGAAAAACAAAGUAUGGACAAUCUUGCCAAUAAACAGAGUCUUUACUAAACCCAAAGAAAGUGGCGUGGUUCCCUGAACCGGACCAAACUACAACAGCAAAGGAAAAGUCUAGAAAGUGUCAGUCACGAUCAGGCCUCGAGGUCGUAUGAUUGUGUCAAAUUGCUUUACAGAAAGAAGAUGGAGGGAAAAAAAGACAUAAAUCAAGAGUGCACCUGUGACUGUGAAAAAUGGAGUGGAGUUUCAUGCAAGGGCAGAUUCAUCUGACAGUUCAGUCAAAAGAAGAACUGGAAGGAUGCCGGAAGCCUUUUUCCUCCCUCAGAUUACAGGUGUGCCUCGUCGUGCUCUUUGGUGAGCUCAAAAAUGUGAUUAGAGAAAUCCCCCGGACCCUGUCAGAAACUCCGAAUCAGCACACUUAUACACUGAGUUCUCGCAGGGUCUUAGAACAUGAUGCAGGAGAGAGCUGCCAUGAAAGGAAGAUUCCCACCUGCACCUUUAGCCGUGGGUAG
rnacentral:lncRNA from 1 species